UACGUAAGGUCCGAGCGUUGUCCGGAAUCAUUGGGCGUAAAGGGUACGUAGGCGGAUAAGCAAGUUAGAAGUGAAAUCCUAUAGCUCAACUAUAGUAAGCUUUUAAAACUGCUGAUCUUGAGGUAUGGAGAGGAAAGUGGAAUUCCUAGUGUAGCGGUGAAAUGCGUAGAUAUUAGGAGGAAUACCGGUGGCGAAGGCGACUUUCUGGCCAUAAACUGACGCUGAGGCGCGAAAGCGUGGGGAGCAAACGGG
rnacentral:rRNA from 1 species